UGGGGAAUUUGGACAAUGGGCGAAAGCCUGAUCCAGCAAUGCCGCGUGUGUGAAGAAGGCCUUCGGGUUGUAAAGCACUUUUGUCCGGAAAGAAAUCCUUGGCUCUAAUACAGUCGGGGGAUGACGGUACCGGAAGAAUAAGCACCGGCUAACUACGUGCCAGCAGCCGCGGUAAUACGUAGGGUGCAAGCGUUAAUCGGAAUUACUGGGCGUAAAGCGUGCGCAGGCGGUUUGCUAAGACCGAUGUGAAAUCCCCGGGCUCAACCUGGGAACUGCAUUGGUGACUGGCAGGCUAGAGUAUGGCAGAGGGGGGUAGAAUUCCACGUGUAGCAGUGAAAUGCGUAGAGAUGUGGAGGAAUACCGAUGGCGAAGGCAGCCCCCUGGGCCAAUACUGACGCUCAUGCUCGAAAGCGUGGGGAGCAAACAGGAUUAGAUACCCUGGUAGUCCACGCCCUAAACGAUGUCAACUAGUUGUUGGGGAUUCAUUUCCUUAGUAACGUAGCUAACGCGUGAAGUUGACCGCCUGGGGAGUACGGUCGCAAGAUUAAAACUCAAAUGAAUUGACGGGGUCAUAGCUG
rnacentral:rRNA from 1 species